rnacentral:rRNA from 1 species
GCGUGGAGCAUGUGGUUAAUUUCGAUGAUACGCGAGGAACCUUACCUGGGCUCAAAUGUAUGUUGACGAUUCUGAAAGGGAUACUUCUUCGGACAAUAUACGAGGUGCUGCAUGGUUGUCGUCAGCUCGUGCCGUGAGGUGUCGGGUUAAGUCCCAUAACGAGCGCAACCCUACCUUUAGUUGCCAUCAGGUAAUGCUGGGGACUCUAAAGGAACUGCCUACGCAAGUAGUGAGGAAGGCGGGGAUGACGUCAAAUCAGCACGGCCCUUACGUCCAGGGCUACACACGUGCUACAAUGGCCGAUACAGAGGGCAGCUACCUGGUGACAGGAUGCAAAUCUCCAAAGUCGGUCUCAGUUCGGAUCGGAGUCUGCAACCCGACUCCGUGAAGUUGGAUUCGCUAGUAAUCGCGCAUCAGCCAUGGCGCGGUGAAUACGUUCCCGGGCCUU